UGGGGAAUAUUGGACAAUGGGGGAAACCCUGAUCCAGCGACGCCGCGUGUGUGAAGAAGGCCUGCGGGUUGUAAAGCACUUUCGGUGGGAACGAAAUAUGCCGGGCUAAUACCCCGGUAGGCUGACGUUACUCAAUGAAGAAGCACCGGCUAACUCUGUGCCAGCAGCCGCGGUAAUACAGAGGGUGCGAGCGUUAAUCGGAAUUACUGGGCGUAAAGCGCACGUAGGUGGCGACGUAAGUCGGGUGUGAAAUCCCCGGGCUCAACCUGGGAACCGCAUUCGAGACUGCAUUGCUGGAGUACGGAAGAGGAGGGCGGAAUUCCCGGUGUAGCGGUGAAAUGCGUAGAUAUCGGGAGGAACAUCAGUGGCGAAGGCGGCCCUCUGGUCCAGUACUGACACUCAAGUGCGAAAGCGUGGGGAGCAAACAGGAUUAGAUACCCCGGUAGUCCCUGAGCGGGCUGGCAAGGCGCAU
rnacentral:rRNA from 1 species